GACGAACGCUGGCGGCGUGCCUAAUACAUGCAAGUAGAACGCUGAAGAGAGGAGCUUGCUCUUCUUGGAUGAGUUGCGAACGGGUGAGUAACGCGUAGGUAACCUGCCUUGUAGCGGGGGAUAACUAUUGGAAACGAUAGCUAAUACCGCAUAACAAUGGAUGACACAUGUCAUUUAUUUGAAAGGGGCAAUUGCUCCACUACAAGAUGGACCUGCGUUGUAUUAGCUAGUAGGUGAGGUAACGGCUCACCUAGGCGACGAUACAUAGCCGACCUGAGAGGGUGAUCGGCCACACUGGGACUGAGACACGGCCCAGACUCCUACGGGAGGCAGCAGUAGGGAAUCUUCGGCAAUGGGGGCAACCCUGACCGAGCAACGCCGCGUGAGUGAAGAAGGUUUUCGGAUCGUAAAGCUCUGUUGUAAGUCAAGAACGAGUGUGAGAGUGGAAAGUUCACACUGUGACGGUAGCUUACCAGAAAGGGACGGCUAACUACGUGCCAGCAGCCGCGGUAAUACGUAGGUCCCGAGCGUUGUCCGGAUUUAUUGGGCGUAAAGCGAGCGCAGGCGGUUUGAUAAGUCUGAAGUUAAAGGCUGUGGCUCAACCAUAGUUCGCUUUGGAAACUGUCAAACUUGAGUGCAGAAGGGGAGAGUGGAAUUCCAUGUGUAGCGGUGAAAUGCGUAGAUAUAUGGAGGAACACCGGUGGCGAAAGCGGCUCUCUGGUCUGUAACUGACGCUGAGGCUCGAAAGCGUGGGGAGCGAACAGGAUUAGAUACCCUGGUAGUCCACGCCGUAAACGAUGAGUGCUAGGUGUUGGAUCCUUUCCGGGAUUCAGUGCCGCAGCUAACGCACUAAGCACUCCGCCUGGGGAGUACGACCGCAAGGUUGAAACUCAAAGGAAUUGACGGGGGCCCGCACAAGCGGUGGAGCAUGUGGUUUAAUUCGAAGCAACGCGAAGAACCUUACCAGGUCUUGACAUCCCGAUGCUAUUUCUAGAGAUAGAAAGUUACUUCGGUACAUCGGUGACAGGUGGUGCAUGGUUGUCGUCAGCUCGUGUCGUGAGAUGUUGGGUUAAGUCCCGCAACGAGCGCAACCCCUAUUGUUAGUUGCCAUCAUUCAGUUGGGCACUCUAGCGAGACUGCCGGUAAUAAACUGGAGGAAGGUGGGGAUGACGUCAAAUCAUCAUGCCCCUUAUGACCUGGGCUACACACGUGCUACAAUGGUUGGUACAACGAGUUGCGAGUCGGUGACGGCAAGCUAAUCUCUUAAAGCCAAUCUCAGUUCGGAUUGUAGGCUGCAACUCGCCUACAUGAAGUCGGAAUCGCUAGUAAUCGCGGAUCAGCACGCCGCGGUGAAUACGUUCCCGGGCCU
rnacentral:rRNA from 1 species